rnacentral:lncRNA from 1 species
UUUUUUUUUUCAGAGUGGAAAAUAGAAGUUUAUUAAAGGACAGCAGAAAAGACUUCUCCCGGAGGAAGAAGGGGACCCAAGAGAUGGAAUCUCGAUAUGCUUUGUUUUAACAAUUGGGCAGAGGACUGUCAGUUGUCUGCAUACCCACCUAGUUUCUCUGAUUAGUAUGCUUUCAGGUGGCCUGAAAGUUGAAGGUAUUUUGCUUUAAGGAAAAAAAUUAGGGACAGAAGACUGUAGAAAGCAUUUCCUGUGUAAGCAAAUACCAUGCAACACCAUUGCCAUAGAAACCUCAUGUCGUUUUUUGGUGACAAUAAUGACUUUAUUGGAGACCAACUUGCUCUGGUUUGAGAGCAGUGUCCCUACUCCAAGUGUAUGGACUCUGGGGAGGGUGUGGUGCUCCGAGGUGGGGGAUGAACCUCCCAAGGGUGUGGAGAAAUGAAGUGAUACCAAACCCAAUCACCUCAUUCUUGAUCUGGCACUUGGUGCUUUGCUGACUGGAGAGGGAGAGAGAUGUGGGAUCCUUCUGGCCCUAGCAGCUUGAUAACGUGCUCCAGGGUGUCCUGGACCUACUUUCCUUAUAAAUGCGGGGUGCGGGAGGGAGGAUAAGAAAGGGAACAGCCCUCUGUGACCCAGCUACUCCUCUGUAAAAUGGGAGCAAGAAUGCUCACCCACAGAAUUGUUGGUUUGAGGAAGAAACACGAUGUUUAACAUGCAUUUGUGAUAAAUUUAUAUGUAAUUUCCUGAAUGAAUUGAAAAAACUGUCACCAUCAACACUGUCACAUGUGUGUUGAAAGUUGGUGAGAAGGUAUUGUGAUAAGGUAAUAUAGAUUCUUAUUUGAUAAUCAGGUUAUUAUCCUUUCUAUAUUGUUACGGCUUAGAGUUCUUUUAGAUAAAGAUGGUAUAAACGUUUGUGUAAAAGGCUUUACAUACACAUAUGUUUUUGUUCCCCUAUGGCAACUAUUAGGAGUGUACUAGCUGAAUUGAAUGGUAGAUGUGAGGUUAACAUUUUAAAAAAUUGAUAAACUGUUUUCCAAAGUGAUUGUAGCAUUUUUAAUUUUUACUGGUAAUACUUCACAGUCCUUUUGAAUACAAGUUAUGGCCAUUUUUAAAAAUUUUAGCUGUUUUCAUUGGGUAUAGUGAUAUUUCAUUGGAAUUUUAAUUUACAUUUCCCUAAUGACUAAUGAUAUUUGACAUAUUUUCCAUAUAAUUAAUUGGUAUGUGUGCAUAUAAUUAGAUAAACUCUGUUCAAAGUGUUAGCCCAAUUAUGUACUGGAGUUCCUAUUUGUUUCUUACUGUAUUAACAUGUUUUCUAUAUUGUAUUCUAGAUGUUCUUUGCCAGAUACUACUACUACUACUACUACUACUACUACUACUACUACUACUACUACUUAUAUUAUUAUUGAUCUGAGACUUGAAUCCAGGGGCAUUUAACCACUGAUCCACAUCCCCAACCCUUUUAAUUAAUUUAUUUACUUUUGUUUUGAGACAGAGUCUUACUAACUUGCUUAGGGCCUUGCUAAGUUGUUGCUGAGGCUGGCCUUGAACUUUCGAUCCUCCUACCUCAGCCUCCAGAGUUGCUGGGCUUACAGGCAAGUGCCACUGCACCUGACAGAUUUUAUUUGAAAAUAGAUUUUAUUUUAAAAUAUUUUCCCAGUCAUUGACCAAACAUUUUAUUCUCACAACAGUGCCAUUGAAUGAAUAGACUUUUUUAAAUUUUGAGGCAGUCUAAUUUAUAAAUUUGUUCAUUUGUACUUUGGAUAUUGCUUUUGGUGUCCUAUAUAAGAAAUGAUUUCUUAACCCAAGGUCACAAGGGUUUUCUCCUAUGCUUUCUUACAGAAGUUUUAUGGAUUUAGGCUUUAUAUUUAGAUAAAAGAUUCAUUUUGUGUUGAUUUUUCUGUAUGGUGCAAUAUAUGGAUGAAUGUAUUUUAUUUACUUUUAUUGAUGUGUAUUAAUUAUACACAAUGAUGGGUUCAUUGUGGCAUAUUCAUACAUGCUUAUAAUAUACUUAGAUCAAAUCCAUUUCCAUUUUGUCUCCAAUUACCUUGCCUAUUGUCCUC